rnacentral:rRNA from 1 species
GACGAACGCUGGCGGCGUGCUUAACACAUGCAAGUCGAACGGAAAGGCCCUGCUUUUGUGGGGUGCUCGAGUGGCGAACGGGUGAGUAACACGUGAGUAACCUGCCCUCGACUUUGGGAUAACUUCAGGAAACUGGGGCUAAUACCGGAUAGGAGCUCCUGCUGCAUGGUGGGGGUUGGAAAGUUUCGGCGGUUGGGGAUGGACUCGCGGCUUAUCAGCUUGUUGGUGGGGUAGUGGCUUACCAAGGCUUUGACGGGUAGCCGGCCUGAGAGGGUGACCGGCCACAUUGAGACUGAGAUACGGCCCAGACUCCUACGGGAGGCAGCAGUGGGGAAUAUUGAACAAUGGGCGGAAGCCUGAUGCAGCCACGCCGCGUGCGGGAUGACGGCCUUCGGGUUGUAACCCGCUUUCGCCUGUGACGAAGCGUGAGUGACGGUAAUGGGUAAAGAAGCACCGGCUAACUACGUG